UUAAGCGACUAAGCGUACACGGUGGAUGCCCUGGCAGUCAGAGGCGAUGAAGGGCGUGCUAAUCUGCGAUAAGCGCCGGUAAGGUGAUAUGAACCGUUAUAACCGGCGAUACCCGAAUGGGGAAACCCAGUGUGAUUCGUCACACUAUCAUUAACUGAAUCCAUAGGUUAAUGAGGCGAACCGGGGGAACUGAAACAUCUAAGUACCCCGAGGAAAAGAAAUCAACCGAGAUUCCCCCAGUAGCGGCGAGCGAACGGGGAGGAGCCCAGAGCCUGAAUCAGCAUGUGUGUUAGUGGAAGCGUCUGGAAAGGCGCGCGAUACAGGGUGACAGCCCCGUACACAAAAGCGCAUGUGCUGUGAGCUCGAUGAGUAGGGCGGGACACGUGGUAUCCUGUCUGAAUAUGGGGGGACCAUCCUCCAAGGCUAAAUACUCCUGACUGACCGAUAGUGAACCAGUACCGUGAGGGAAAGGCGAAAAGAACCCCGGCGAGGGGAGUGAAAAAGAACCUGAAACCGUGUACGUACAAGCAGUGGGAGCACCCGUUUGGGGUGUGACUGCGUACCUUUUGUAUAAUGGGUCAGCGACUUAUAUUCUGUAGCAAGGUUAACCGAAUAGGGGAGCCGGAGGGAAACCGAGUCUUAACCGGGCGUUAAGUUGCAGGGUAUAGACCCGAAACCCGGUGAUCUAGCCAUGGGCAGGUUGAAGGUUGGGUAACACUAACUGGAGGACCGAACCGACUAAUGUUGAAAAAUUAGCGGAUGACCUGUGGCUGGGGGUGAAAGGCCAAUCAAACCGGGAGAUAGCUGGUUCUCCCCGAAAGCUAUUUAGGUAGCGCCUCGUGAAUUCAUCUCCGGGGGUAGAGCACUGUUUCGGCUAGGGGGCCAUCCCGGCUUACCAACCCGAUGCAAACUGCGAAUACCGGAGAAUGUUAUCACGGGAGACACACGGCGGGUGCUAACGUCCGUCGUGAAGAGGGAAACAACCCAGACCGCCAGCUAAGGUCCCAAAGUCAUGGUUAAGUGGGAAACGAUGUGGGAAGGCCCAGACAGCCAGGAUGUUGGCUUAGAAGCAGCCAUCAUUUAAAGAAAGCGUAAUAGCUCACUGGUCGAGUCGGCCUGCGCGGAAGAUGUAACGGGGCUAAACCAUGCACCGAAGCUGCGGCAGCGACACUCAGGUGUUGUUGGGUAGGGGAGCGUUCUGUAAGCCUGUGAAGGUGUGUCGUGAGG
rnacentral:rRNA from 1 species